rnacentral:rRNA from 1 species
CACUCCUGCGGGAGGCAGCAGUGGGGAAUUUUGGACAAUGGGCGAAAGCCUGAUCCAGCAAUGCCGCGUGAGUGAAGAAGGCCUUCGGGUUGUAAAGCUCUUUUGUCAGGGAAGAAACGGUGAAAGCUAAUAUCUUUUGCUAAUGACGGUACCUGAAGAAUAAGCACCGGCUAACUACGUGCCAGCAGCCGCGGUAAUACGUAGGGUGCAAGCGUUAAUCGGAAUUACUGGGCGUAAAGCGUGCGCAGGCGGUUUUGUAAGUCUGAUGUGAAAUCCCCGGGCUCAACCUGGGAAUUGCAUUGGAGACUGCAAGGCUAGAAUCUGGCAGAGGGGGGUGGAAUUCCACGUGUAGCAGUGAAAUGCGUAGAUAUGUGGAGGAACACCGAUUGCGAAGGCAGCCCCCUGGGUCAAGAUUGACGCUCAUGCACGAAAGCGUGGGGAGCAAACAGGAUUAGAAACCCCAGUAGUCCCA